rnacentral:RNase_P_RNA from 2 species
GAAGUCGGCCAGACAGCCGCUGCGAGCGGAAGAAGCGAGCCUCUACGAUGGUUCGUGCCGCUCGGAGAGGAAAGUCCGGGCUCCACAGGGUAGGGUGGCGGCUAAUCACCGCCCGCCGCGAGGCGAGCAACAGGGCCACAGAGACGAGUCCUGAUGCGGGCAACUGCGUUAGGGGUGAAACGAGGCAACCUGCACCCGGAGCAACGCCAAAUAGGCAAGCGAUGACGCGACCCGCCGAGCUUGCGGGUAGGCGGCUCGAGCCCUGGAGCAAUCCAGGGCCUAGAGGAAUGGCUGUCGGAGCCGCAAGGCUCUUACAGAACCCGGCUUACCGGCCGGCUUCCCAC